GAGUUUGAUCAUGGCUCAAAUUGAACGCUGGCGGCAUGCCUUACACAUGCAAGUCGGACGGCAGCACGGGAGCAAUCCUGGUGGCGAGUGGCGAACGGGUGAGUAAUACAUCGGAACGUGUCCUGGAGUGGGGGAUAGCCCGGCGAAAGCCGGAUUAAUACCGCAUACGCUCUGAGGAGAAAAGCGGGGGAUCUUUCGGGACCUCGCGCUCAAGGGGCGGCCGAUGGCAGAUUAGCUAGUUGGUGGGGUAAAGGCCUACCAAGGCGACGAUCUGUAGCUGGUCUGAGAGGACGACCAGCCACACUGGGACUGAGACACGGCCCAGACUCCUACGGGAGGCAGCAGUGGGGAAUUUUGGACAAUGGGCGCAAGCCUGAUCCAGCAAUGCCGCGUGUGUGAAGAAGGCCUUCGGGUUGUAAAGCACUUUUGUCCGGAAAGAAAACCUCGGUCCUGAUACGGCGGGGGGAUGACGGUACCGGAAGAAUAAGCACCGGCUAACUACGUGCCAGCAGCCGCGGUAAUACGUAGGGUGCAAGCGUUAAUCGGAAUUACUGGGCGUAAAGCGUGCGCAGGCGGUCCGUUAAGACAGAUGUGAAAUCCCCGGGCUUAACCUGGGAACUGCAUUUGUGACUGGCGGACUCGAGUAUGGCAGAGGGGGGUAGAAUUCCACGUGUAGCAGUGAAAUGCGUAGAGAUGUGGAGGAAUACCGAUGGCGAAGGCAGCCCCCUGGGCCAAUACCGACGCUCAUGCACGAAAGCGUGGGGAGCAAACAGGAUUAGAUACCCUGAUAGUCCACGCCCUAAACGAUGUCAACUGGUUGUCGGGCCUUC
rnacentral:rRNA from 1 species